GACGAACGCUGGCGGCGUGCUUAACACAUGCAAGUCGAACGGAAAGGCUCUACCUUGCUGGUGUACUCGAGUGGCGAACGGGUGAGUAACACGUGGGUAAUCUGCCCUGCACUCUGGGAUAAGCUUAGGAAACUGGGUCUAAUACUGGAUAUGACCUUUCUCCUUAUGGGGUUUGGUGGAAAGUUUUUCGGUGUAGGAUGAGCCCGCGGCCUAUCAGCUUGUUGGUGGGGUGAUGGCCUACCAAGGCGACGACGGGUAGCCGGCCUGAGAGGGUGAUCGGCCACAUUGGGACUGAGAUACGGCCCAGACUCCUACGGGAGGCAGCAGUGGGGAAUAUUGCACAAUGGGCGGAAGCCUGAUGCAGCGACGCCGCGUGAGGGAUGACGGCCUUCGGGUUGUAAACCGCUUUCAGCAGGGACGAAGCGUAAGUGACGGUACCGGCAGAAGAAGCACCGGCUAACUAUGUG
rnacentral:rRNA from 1 species